GAUGAACGCUGGCGGCGUGCCUAAUACAUGCAAGUCGAGCGAACAGACGAGGAGCUUGCUCCUCUGACGUUAGCGGCGGACGGGUGAGUAACACGUGGAUAACCUACCUAUAAGACUGGGAUAACUUCGGGAAACCGGAGCUAAUACCGGAUAAUAUAUUGAACCGCAUGGUUCAAUAGUGAAAGACGGUUUUGCUGUAACUUCUAGAUGGAUCCGCGCCGCAUUAGCUAGUUGGUAAGGUAACGGCUUACCAAGGCAACGAUGCGUAGCCGACCUGAGAGGGUGAUCGGCCACACUGGAACUGAGACACGGUCCAGACUCCUACGGGAGGCAGCAGUAGGGAAUCGUCCGCAAUGGGCGAAAGCCUGACGGAGCAACGCCGCGUGAGUGAUGAAGGUCUUCGGAUCGUAAUACUCUGUUAUUAGGGAAGAACAAAUGUGUAAGUAACUAUGCACGUCUUGACGGUACCUAAUCAGAAAGCCACGGCUAACUACGUG
rnacentral:rRNA from 1 species